AGUGAACGCUGGCGGUAGGCCUAACACAUGCAAGUCGAACGGCAGCACAGUAAGAGCUUGCUCUUACGGGUGGCGAGUGGCGGACGGGUGAGGAAUACAUCGGAAUCUACUUUUUCGUGGGGGAUAACGUAGGGAAACUUACGCUAAUACCGCAUACGACCUACGGGUGAAAGCAGGGGAUCUUCGGACCUUGCGCGAUUGAAUGAGCCGAUGUCGGAUUAGCUAGUUGGCGGGGUAAAGGCCCACCAAGGCGACGAUCCGUAGCUGGUGUGAGAGGAUGAUCGGCCACACUAGAACUGGGACACGGUCCAGACUCCUACGGGAGGCCGCAGUGGGGAAUAUUGGACAAUGGGCGCAAGCCUGAUCCAGCCAUACCGCGUGGGUGAAGAAGGCCUUCGGGUUGUAAAGCCCUUUUGUUGGGAAAGAAAAGCAGCAGGUUAAUACCCCGCUGUUCUGACGGUACCCAAAGAAUAAGCACCGGCUAACUUCGUG
rnacentral:rRNA from 1 species